rnacentral:rRNA from 1 species
CCUACGGGAGGCAGCAGUGAGGAAUAUUGGUCAAUGGACGAGAGUCUGAACCAGCCAAGUAGCGUGAAGGAUGACUGCCCCAUGGGUUGUAAACUUCUUUUAUAUGGGAAUAAAACGUUCCACGUGUGGGAUUUUGUAUGUACCAUAUGAAUAAGGAUCGGCUAACUCCGUGCCAGCAGCCGCGGUAAUACGGAGGAUCCGAGCGUUAUCCGGAUUUAUUGGGUUUAAAGGGAGCGUAGGUGGAUUGUUAAGUCAGUUGUGAAAGUUUGCGGCUCAACCGUAAAAUUGCAGUUGAAACUGGCAGUCUUGAGUACAGUAGAGGUGGGCGGAAUUCGUGGUUUAGCGGUGAAAUGCUUAGAUAUCACGAAGAACUCCGAUUGCGAAGGCAGUUCACUGGACUGCAACUGACACUGAGGCUCGAAAGUGUGGGUAUCAAACAGGAUUAGAUACCCUGGUAGUC